rnacentral:rRNA from 1 species
GCUCGAGUGGCGAACGGGUGAGUAACACGUGAGUAACCUGCCCUUGACUUUGGGAUAACUUCAGGAAACUGGGGCUAAUACCGGAUAGGAGCUCCUGCUGCAUGGUGGGGGUUGGAAAGUUUCGGCGGUUGGGGAUGGACUCGCGGCUUAUCAGCUUGUUGGUGGGGUAGUGGCUUACCAAGGCUUUGACGGGUAGCCGGCCUGAGAGGGUGAUCGGCCACAUUGGGACUGAGAUACGGCCCAG